rnacentral:rRNA from 1 species
CAACGUCCGGUUGUUUGGGACGCACCCAAGCGGGCGCUAACUUCACUUAAGGUUAAAUACGGGUUUAGGAGCCGGUAGCAAACAAGUCUUGUGAAGGAAAUUGAAAACCACUUUGAAAAGGAGAGUCCAAAGAGAACGUGAACCCUUUAUAUGUGGAAGCAGGAUGGGAGCCGAGGUUUCCAGGGCGACUUAAGCUGUUUUUGGGGGGCGAUUUGUUGUUUUGAGUUUCCGCAAGGUGCUCGGUCAGCAACUUUCGCAUUCUAUAACAGUGCUCUUGCGUACAGAGUGUGCCGAAUCGGUUGGAGAUCGCUGCUUAAAAACCGGGAAGAGGACCAGUUUUCGGGCAGGAAACCUGAACGGUUGGAAGGCGGAUGGAUCUGCCCGCAUAAAAAAAGUCGACUUGGGUGCGGUCGGUAGGAAGGAAGGGCUUGUUAGUACGCGACGCCUGCGUUUCGUGCCGACGGCUUUUGUUUCAUUUUGAUUGUUGCUUGGCUAAAAUUCGGUGUAUAAUCGGUCACCCAUUUGACCCGUCUUGAAACACGGACCAAGGAGUUUAAGGUGUGCGCGAGUCAUUGAGCGAUAAAAACUCAAAGGCGUAAUGAAAGUGGGACACUUGGUGUCUGUGAUGCGAGCCGUGUGCGACUCGUUGCGCGCGGCGCAGCAUCGACCCAUGACCAGGACUUGUUUCUGUUGUGGAGUCCGAGCGUACGCUUUGAGACCCGAAAGAUGGUGAACUAUGCCUGAACAGGACGAAGUCAGAGGAAACUCUGAUGGAAGUCCGAAGCGGUUCUGACGUGCAAAUCGAUCGUCUGAUUGGGUAUAGGGGCGCAAGACUAAU